rnacentral:misc_RNA from 1 species
ACCCAUCAAUACAGACAAGUCUUUUGCUUUCUGUACUUGGAAGUUGAAGGCUGCCGGCGUAAUGGCCAGCUCCUUUUAAAUUUAUUAGCGGGACUUUGAAGACUCGGCUUCAGUUUGAUAAUGCAUCUAUGCUGUCGCCGAAGAACGUUUUGUCUGGCUUAUAGCUGUCCCUUUGGGACUGUCUCUUACGAGGCACAACGCAAUCAAC